UACGGAGGGUGCGAGCGUUGCUCGGAAUUACUGGGCGUAAAGCGUACGCAGGCUGCCGUGCAAGUCGGGUGUGAAAGCCCGGGGCUCAACCCCGGAAAUGCGCCCGAGACUGCAUGGCUUGAAUGCGGGAGAGGAUAGCGGAAUUCCUGGUGUAGAGGUGAAAUUCGUAGAUAUCAGGAGGAACACCUGUGGCGAAAGCGGCUAUCUGGCCCGACAUUGACGCUCAUGUACGAAAGCGCGGGGAGCAAAC
rnacentral:rRNA from 1 species